rnacentral:rRNA from 1 species
GAUGAACGCUGGCGGCGUGCCUAAUACAUGCAAGUCGAGCGAACGGACGAGAAGCUUGCUUUUCUGAUGUUAGCGGCGGACGGGUGAGUAACACGUGGAUAACCUACCUAUAAGACUGGGAUAACUUCGGGAACCCGGAGCUAAUACCGGAUAAUAUUUUGAACCUCAUGGUUCAAAAGUGAAAGACGGUCUUGCUGUCACUUAUAGAUGGAUCCGCGCUGCAUUAGCUAGUUGGUAAGGUAACGGCUUACCAAGGCAACGAUGCAUAGCCGACCUGAGAGGGUGAUCGGCCACACUGGAACUGAGACACGGUCCAGACUCCUACGGGAGGCAGCAGUAGGGAAUCUUCCGCAAUGGGCGAAAGCCUGACGGAGCAACGCCGCGUGAGUGAUGAAGGUCUUCGGAUCGUAAAACUCUGUUAUUAGGGAAGAACAUAUGUGUAAGUAACUGUGCACAUCCUGACGGUACCUAAUCAGAAAGCCACGGCUAACUACGUG